AGUGAACGCUGGCGGUAGGCCUAACACAUGCAAGUCGAACGGCAGCACAGUAAGAGCUUGCUCUUACGGGUGGCGAGUGGCGGACGGGUGAGGAUUACAUCGGAAUCUACUUUUUCGUGGGGGGUAACGUAGGGAAACUUACGCUAAUACCGCAUACGACCUACGGGUGAAAGCAGGGGAUCUUCGGACCUUGCGCGAUUGAAUGAGCCGAUGUCGGAUUAGCUAGUUGGCGGGGUAAAGGCCCACCAAGGCGACGAUCCGUAGCUGGUCUGAGAGGAUGAUCAGCCACACUGGAACUGAGACACGGUCCAGACUCCUACGGGAGGCAGCAGUGGGGAAUAUUGGACAAUGGGCGCAAGCCUGAUCCAGCCAUACCGCGUGGGUGAAGAAGGCCUUCGGGUUGUAAAGCCCUUUUGUUGGGAAAGAAAAGCAGCAGGUUAAUACCCCGCUGUUCUGACGGUACCCAAAGAAUAAGCACCGGCUAACUUCGUG
rnacentral:rRNA from 1 species